AUACUGGAAUCACACAUUUCUAAGCUGACUACGGAUCAGAAGGUUAGGAGUUCGAAUCUUCUCGGGCGCGCCA
rnacentral:tRNA from 1 species